AACUAAACCGGAUUGAAGCGAUAUCCUUUUUUUGCUGUGAUCCUGAGCACAGCCGAUGGAAAGCAAAAAAAGAUUUAGCGGAAAGCCGGACGGUUU
rnacentral:sRNA from 1 species